UGGCUCAGUGGUAGAGUGCUUGCCUCACAGGCAGGAGGCCCUGGGUUCAAUUCCUCAG
rnacentral:tRNA from 1 species